rnacentral:rRNA from 1 species
UACGUAGGGGGCAAGCGUUGUCCGGAUUUAUUGGGCGUAAAGAGCGUGUAGGCGGUUUGGUAGGUCCGCUGUGAAAACUCGAGGCUCAACCUCGAGACGCCGGUGGAAACCAUCAGACUAGAGUCCGGAAGAGGAGAGUGGAAUUCCAGGUGUAGUGGUGAAAUACGUAGAUAUCUGGAGGAACACCGGUGGCGAAGGCGGCGAUCUGGCCCAACACUGACACUGAGACCCAAAAGCGUGGGGAUCAAACAGG